CGGAAAUACGGCAAGUGGAACAAGAUAUGUUUGUGUUCAAGGACGAGUUGAAGGACGUUGAGGAAUAUGUGGCCGAACUGCAAAAGGCCGAAGCCGACAAAAAUCGUCAGGACGG